ACGAACGCUGGCGGCUGCUUAACACAUGCAAGUCGAACGGAGUGGCGAACGGGUGAGUAACGCGGGAGCAACCUGCCUAUGAAAGGGGGAUAGCCUCGGGAAACCGGGAUUAAUACCGCAUAGUCAUAGAUGGGCUCGCGUCUGAUUAGCUAGUUGGUGAGAUAACAGCCCACCAAGGCGACGAUCAGUAGCCGGUCUGAGAGGUUGAACGGCCACCUUUGAACUGAUGCACGGUCCAAACUCCUCCGGGAGGCAUCAGUGGCGAAUAUUGCACAAUGGGGGAAACCCUGUUGCAGCGACGCCGCGUGAACGAAGAAGUUAUUCGAAUCGUAAAGUUCUGUCCUAUGGGAAGCCGUACCAUAGAAGAAAGCUCCGGCUAACUACGUGCCAGCAGCCGCGGUAAUUC
rnacentral:rRNA from 1 species